GACGAACGCUGGCGGCGUGCCUAAUACAUGCAAGUAGGACGCAGUUGCGAACGGGUGAGUAACGCGUAGGUAACUACCUAUUAGAGGGGGAUAACUAUUGGAAACGAUAGCUAAUACCGCAUACUAGUAGAUGGACCUGCGUUGUAUUAGCUAGUAGGUAGGGUAAUGGCCUACCUAGGCAACGAUACAUAGCCGAACGUAGGGGGUGGUCGGCCAAAAUGGGAAUGAGGAACGGCCCAGAAUCCGAAGGGAGGCAGGCGUAGGGAAACUUCGGCAAUGGGGGGAACCCUGACCGAGCAAAGCCGGGUGAGUGAAGAAGGGUUUCGGAUCGUAAAGCUCUGUUGUUAAGGAAGCGGUACUUAACCAGAAAGGGACGGCUAACUACGUGCCAGCAGCCGCGGUAAUUC
rnacentral:rRNA from 1 species